rnacentral:misc_RNA from 1 species
UACAGAGGGUGCGAGCGUUGUUCGGAAUUACUGGGCGUAAAGCGCGCGUAGGCGGCUGUUUAAGUCUCGCUGUGAAAUUCCGGGGCUCAACCCCGGGGCUGCAGGGGAUACUGGACGGCUGGAGACAGGUAGAGGCGAGUGGAAUUCCGGGUGUAGCGGUGGAAUGCGUAGAGAUCCGGAAGAACACCAGAGGCGAAGGCGGCUCGCUGGGCCUGGUCUGACGCUGAGGCGCGAAAGCAUGGGUAGCGAACGGG